GCCAUCCAGAUCCUUCCUCAGGGCCUCCACCUCAGGGGUCUCAGGAGACCCACCUGGGGUAGCUGCUCAUCUCACAGGCUGGUGCCCCUCUCCUCCCGCCCCUGCAGAUGCUGAUGUACAUGUUUUAUGUCCUGCCUUUCUGCGGCCUGGCUGCCUAUGCUCUCACCUUCCCUGGUUGCUCCUGGCUGCCAGACUGGGCCUUGGUGUUUGCUGGAGCCAUCGGCCAGGCACAGUUCUCGCACAUGGGGGCUUCCAUGCACCUGCGCACACCCUUCACCUACCGUGUGCCUGAGGACACCUGGGGCUGCUUCUUCGUGUGCAAUCUGCUGUAUGCGCUGGGCCCCCACCUGCUGGCCUACCGUUGCCUUCAGUGGCCCGCAUUCUUCCACCAGCCACCACCCUCCGACCCCCUAGCCCUCCACAAGAAGCAGCAUUGAGAGAGCUGUGGACUCAGGACCCAGGACUCUGUUUACGUGCCCAGUCAGCCCUACCUGGGGAAGCGGGGGUUGGGUGUUUUAGAGACAGGAGGGACAUCUCCGGGUGUCUUUAGUCUUGGCUAUGGUAGUUUCAGUCCAGUGGGUGGGACGGAGACCAACGACCAAGUGUUCCUGCAAGGAGAGCCUCCCACAGCUGUCACCAUGCUCCAACUCCCACACGAACGCUUCUACCCCUUCCAGAACUUACCCAUCAUCCCCCCAUGGAUCCUUUCAGUAAAAACCCUUUCGAUUUCCAGAAUA
rnacentral:sRNA from 1 species